GGGGACCAAGCAGUCUGAAUCCAGACCUAAA
rnacentral:piRNA from 1 species